GACAGAGGCCCCGAGCGUUAGGCGGAAUCACUGGGCUUAAAGCGUGUGUAGGCGGGCCCGUAAGUGUCUUGUGAAAUCCCACGGCUCAACCGUGGAACUGCUGGGCAUACUGGACAUCUCGAGGCACUCAGGGGCGAGCGGAACAAGUGGUGGAGCGGUGAAAUGCGUAGAUAUCACUUGGAACGCCAAUGGUGAAGACAGCUCGCUGGGGGUGUCCUGACGCUGAGGCGCGAAAGCCAGGGGAGCGAACGGG
rnacentral:rRNA from 1 species